UACGAAGGGGGCUAGCGUUGUUCGGAUUUACUGGGCGUAAAGCGCGCGUAGGCGGACAUUUAAGUCAGGGGUGAAAUCCCGAGGCUCAACCUCGGAACUGCCUUUGAUACUGUAUGUCUGGAGUUCGGGAGAGGUGAGUGGAAUUCCGAGUGUAGAGGUGAAAUUCGUAGAUAUUCGGAGGAACACCAGAAGCGAAGGCGGCUCACUGGCCCGAUACUGACGCUGAGGCGCGAAAGCUAGGGGAGCAAACGGG
rnacentral:rRNA from 1 species